CCUACGGGAGGCUGCAGUGAGGAAUAUUGGUCAAUGGGCGCGAGCCUGAACCAGCCAAGUCGCGUGAGGGAAGACGGUCCUAUGGAUUGUAAACCUCUUUUGUCGGGGAGCAAAAUACGCCACGCGUGGCGUUCCGCGCAUACCCGACGAAAAAGCAUCGGCUAACUCCGUGCCAGCUGCCGCGGUAAUACGGGGGCUGCGAGCGUUAUCCGGAUGUGUUGGGUUUAAGGGGUGCGCAGGCGGACGCUUAAGUCAGCGGUAAAAGUGCGGGGCUCAACCUCGUCGAGCCGUUGAAACUGGGGGCCUUGAGUGGGAGAGAAGGAAGCGGAAUGCGUGGUGUAGCGGUGAAAUGCAUAGAUAUCACGCAGAACUCCGAUUGCGAAGGCAGCGUACCGGAGCCUAACUGACGCUGAAGCACGAAGGCGUGGGUAUCGAACAGGAUUAGAUACCCGGGUAGUC
rnacentral:rRNA from 1 species